AGGUUAAGUUAACAAGGGCGCAUGGUGAAUGCCUUGGCACUAGGAGCCGAUGAAGGACGGGACUAACACCGAUAUGCUUCGGGGAGCUGUACGUAAGCUAUGAUCCGGAGAUUUCCGAAUGGGGCAACCCAGCAGUUUUAAUCAACUGUUACCACUAGAUGAAUUCAUAGUCUAGUUGGAGGUAAACGCUGUGAACUGAAACAUCUCAUUAGCAGCAGGAAUAUAAAGAAAUUUCGAUUCCCUAAGUAGCGGCGAGCGAACGGGGAACAGCCCAAACCAAAGUGCUUGCACUUUGGGGUUGUAGGACUGAACAUUUGAGUUACCAAAGAACUUGAUAGUCGAAGGAUUUGGGAAAAUCCGCCAUAGAUGGUGAUAGCCCAGUAGAUUAAAUCAAAUUCUCUCAGUUCAGGAUCCUGAGUACGGCGGAACACGUGAAAUUCCGUCGGAAUCCGGGAGGACCAUCUCCCAAGGCUAAAUACUACCUAGUGACCGAUAGUGAACCAGUACCGUGAGGGAAAGGUGAAAAGCACCCCGGGAGGGGAGUGAAAUAGUUCCUGAAACCAUGUGCCUACAAUAAGUCAGAGCGCGUUAAUGCGUGAUGGCGUGCCUUUUGUAGAAUGAACCGGCGAGUUAUGAUCCCGUGCAAGGUUAAGACUAAAAAGUCGGAGCCGUAGCGAAAGCGAGUCUGAAAUGGGCGUUUUGAGUACGAGGUUAUAGACCCGAAACCAGGUGACCUAUCCAUGUCCAGGUUGAAGGUGCGGUAAAACGCACUGGAGGACCGAACCCGUGUAAGUUGAAAAUUGCUGGGAUGAGGUGUGGAUAGCGGUGAAAUUCCAAACGAACUUGGAGAUAGCUGGUUCUCUCCGAAAUAGCUUUAGGGCUAGCCUCGGAAUUAGGAUCAUGGAGGUAGAGCACUAUUUGGACUAGGGGCCCGUCUUGGGUUACUGAAUUCAGAUAAACUCCGAAUGCCAUUGAUUCAUAUCCGGGAGUCAGACGAUGAGUGAUAAGAUCCACCGUCGAAAGGGGAACAGCCCAGACCAUCAGUUAAGGUCCCUAAAUGUAUGCUAAGUGGAAAAGGAUGUGGAGUUGCAUAGACAACUAGGAUGUUGGCUCAGAAGCAGCCACCAUUUAAAGAGUGCGUAAUAGCUCACUAGUCGAGUGAUCCUGCGCCGAAAAUGUACCGGGGCUAAGCAUACUACCGAAACCAUGGAUGCGACCAUUAGGUCGCGUGAUAGGAGAGCGUUCUAAGGGCGGUGAAGCAAGAUCGCGAGGACUUGUGGAGCGCUUAGAAGUGAGAAUGCCGGUAUGAGUAGCGAAAGAUAGGUGAGAAUCCUAUCCACCGAAUGACUAAGGUUUCCUGGGGAAGGCUCGUCCUCCCAGGGUUAGUCGGGACCUAAGUCGAGGCCGAGAGGCGUAGACGAUGGAUAACAGGUUGAGAUUCCUGUACUAGUUAAGUGCGUUUGAGCAAUGGAGGGACGCAGGAGGCUAAGAUGUGCAUUCUGUUGGAUUAGAAUGUCCAAGCAGUAAGUCUUGUGAAGAGUCAAAUGCUUUUCACUUUAAGGACAAGCUGUGAUGGGGAGCGAAAUUUAGUAGCGAAGCGUCUGAUGUCACACUGCCGAGAAAAGCUUCUAGUGAGUACUUAACUACCCGUACCGCAAACCGACACAGGUAGUCGAGGAGAGAAUCCUAAGGUGAGCGAGUGAACUCUCGUUAAGGAACUCGGCAAAAUGACCCCGUAACUUCGGGAGAAGGGGUGCUGAUCGCAAGAUCAGCCGCAGUGAAUAGGCCCAGGCGACUGUUUAUCAAAAACACAGGUCUCUGCAAAAUCGUAAGAUGACGUAUAGGGGCUGACGCCUGCCCGGUGCUGGAAGGUUAAAAGGAUGGGUUAGCUUCGGCGAAGCUCAGAAUUGAAGCCCCAGUAAACGGCGGCCGUAACUAUAACGGUCCUAAGGUAGCGAAAUUCCUUGUCGGGUAAGUUCCGACCCGCACGAAAGGCGUAACGAUCUGGGCACUGUCUCAACGAGAGACUCGGUGAAAUUAUAUUGUCCGUGAAGAUGCGGACUACCCGCGACAGGACGGAAAGACCCCAUGGAGCUUUACUGUAGCUUGAUAUUGAGUGUUUGUACAGCUUGUACAGGAUAGGUAGGAGCCAUAGAAACCGGAACGCUAGUUUCGGUGGAGGCGUUGGUGGGAUACUACCCUCGCUGUAUGACCACUCUAACCCGCACCACUAAUCGUGGUGGGAGACAGUGUCAGGUGGGCAGUUUGACUGGGGCGGUCGCCUCCUAAAAAGUAACGGAGGCGCCCAAAGGUUCCCUCAGAAUGGUUGGAAAUCAUUCGCAGAGUGUAAAGGCACAAGGGAGCUUGACUGCGAGACAGACAGGUCGAGCAGGGACGAAAGUCGGGCUUAGUGAUCCGGUGGUACCGUAUGGAAGGGCCAUCGCUCAACGGAUAAAAGCUACCCUGGGGAUAACAGGCUUAUCUCCCCCAAGAGUCCACAUCGACGGGGAGGUUUGGCACCUCGAUGUCGGCUCAUCGCAUCCUGGGGCUGUAGUCGGUCCCAAGGGUUGGGCUGUUCGCCCAUUAAAGCGGUACGCGAGCUGGGUUCAGAACGUCGUGAGACAGUUCGGUCCCUAUCCGUCGCGGGCGUAGGAAAUUUGAGAGGACCUGUCCUUAGUACGAGAGGACCGGGAUGGACAUACCUCUGGUGUACCAGUUGUGCCGCCAGGCGCAUCGCUGGGUAGCUACGUAUGGAUGUGAUAAACGCUGAAAGCAUCUAAGUGUGAAACACACCUCGAGAUGAGAUUUCCCAUUCCUUUAUGGAAGUAAGACCCCUGAAAGAUGAUCAGGUAGAUAGGUUAGAAGUGGCAGUGCGGUGACGCAUGAAGCGGACUAAUACUAAUCGGUCGAGGACUUAACCAAG
rnacentral:rRNA from 3 species